UGUGAAUCUUGCUAUGUGGAGUUACACCC
rnacentral:piRNA from 1 species